UACGAAGGGGGCUAGCGUGGUUCGGAUUUACUGGGCGUAAAGCGCACGUAGGCGGAUCGUUAAGUCGGGGGUGAAAUCCUGGAGCUCAACUCCAGAACUGCCUUCGAUACUGGCGAUCUUGAGUCCGGAAGAGGUGAGUGGAACUCCUAGUGUAGAGGUGGAAUUCGUAGAUAUUAGGAAGAACACCAGUGGCGAAGGCGGCUCACUGGUCCGGUACUGACGCUGAGGUGCGAAAGCGUGGGGAGCAAACAGG
rnacentral:rRNA from 1 species